GAGUUUUUGAACGCAAGUUGCGCCCGAAGCCUUUUGGCCGAGGGCACGUCUGCCUGGGCGUCACGC
rnacentral:rRNA from 1 species